rnacentral:sRNA from 17 species
UUGUUACAAGGCCGCCCACCUCCUCCCGGGCCGCUUUGUCCGACUGGCAGCACUCCUCCUCCCAAGUUGUCAGUCAUAAUCGAAAGCCCGGUGCACCUCCUCCCGCACCGGGUUUUUUCG